rnacentral:rRNA from 1 species
UACACACCGCCCGUCACACCAUGGGAGUGGGUUCCACCACGAAGUAAGUUAGCCUAACCCGCAACGGAACGGGGCGAACGGUACCGUACGGUCGAGAUUCUAUGACUGGGGUG